AUGAAACCACUCGCGCAGGUUGAGAGGUUACACUGAGCUGGGGAGGUUCCGCCACCAGUGUCUGCUCAAAGUGGUUGGGGGAUGGGGUACUUCCCACUUAGGAGGGAAGGGGGGAAUAUGAACAGGUGAGUGGCCACAGUGGGGCUGAGACCCGUAGACAGUGGGACCAGCGGGGGCUUCCCAAAUCCUGGGCCCUCAGACUGCAGGAUCAGAAGAGGGAAAAAACCCCAUAGGACCGGCUCAGCUUCCCGAGGCUGGAGGGUGAGGCUGCCCCCUAGUGGCUGAAGUUCACGACCGGACGGACGUUCAAGGAGUCCCGGGCGUUCCAAUGCUUUCUCCCAGGAAGUGGGCUCUGCAGGCUGGAGUUGCCCUAGUGUCAGGGUGAAGGCUGGGAGCCAACGUCUAAUCAUCAAGGUGAUGGAACUCUGAGGGCUGAAGCUCCUGCACAUUAGCAUCUGGAGAACUUAAAAAUGUACUGAUGCCUGGGAUCUGCCUCAUCACCUGCUGGGAACUGGUCAUCUUUAAAAGCUCCUCAGAUGACACUGCAGGCUGGGCCAAGACACGCUGCCCUCAGGAAUUGCUGAUUAAGAGUUUGCUCCUCUACUCUCAACACCGUUUCUAUUCCCAUCCCCUUGGAUUUGAUUCCCAAAGUCAAUCUAUCUUCUUUAUUUCAAUCGGACAAACAGUAGGUGCACCAGAUCCCUUCCCUCUGCCUGAAUAUUUGUUU
rnacentral:lncRNA from 1 species